UACGGGGGGGGCAAGCGUUGUUCGGAAUUACUGGGCGUAAAGGGCUUGUAGGCGGCCAACUAAGUCCGACGUGAAAUCCCAAGGCUUAACCUUGGAACUGCGUCGGAUACUGGAUGGCUUGAAUUCGGGAGAGGGAUGCGGAAUUCCAGGUGUAGCGGUGAAAUGCGUAGAUAUCUGGAGGAACACCGGUGGCGAAGGCGGCAUCCUGGACCGAGAUUGACGCUGAACAGCGAAAGCUAGGGGAGCAAACAGG
rnacentral:rRNA from 1 species